UACGGAGGGUGCAAGCGUUAUCCGGAUUUACUGGGUUUAAAGGGUGCGUAGGCGGGCAGAUAAGUCAGUGGUGAAAUCCCCGGGCUCAACCUGGGAACUGCCGUUGAUACUAUUUGUCUUGAAUACCGUGGAGGUGAGCGGAAUAUGUCAUGUAGCGGUGAAAUGCUUAGAUAUGACAUAGAACACCGAUUGCGAAGGCAGCUCACUACGCGGUCAUUGACGCUGAGGCACGAAAGCGUGGGGAUCAAACAGG
rnacentral:rRNA from 1 species